rnacentral:rRNA from 1 species
UGUAAGCGUAUACCAAAGUUGUUGCAGUUAAAACGCUCGUAGUCGGAAUUUGGCAGUUCCGGAUGUGUGCACGUCGUGUGCGCACUUCGCGGGGAUUGCUUUUAUGGUCUUGCGUAGGAUGAGGCACUUUUAUUAGUGAACGUCCUCACGCAACCACUUUUUACUGUGAGAAAAUCAGAGUGCUCAAAGCAGGCAUUUGCCGUGAAUGUAUUAGCAUGGAAUAAUAGAAUAGGACUUGGUUCUAUUUUGUUGGUUUGUUGGGACUGAGUAAUGAUUAAGAGGGACAGUUGGGGGCAUUUGUAUUUCGGUGCUAGAGGUGAAAUUCUUAGAUUACCGAAAGACAAACUGCUGCGAAAGCGUCUGCCAAGGAUGUUUUCAUUGA